rnacentral:rRNA from 1 species
UACGUAGGUCGCAAGCGUUGUCCGGAUUUACUGGGCGUAAAGAGCGCGCAGGCGGCUGGUCAAGUCCGAUGUGAAAUCUCCCGGCUCAACUGGGAAACUGCAUCGGAAACUGAUCGGCUUGAAGAUGGGAGAGGGUAGUGGAAUUCCCGGUGUAGUGGUGAAAUGCGUAGAUAUCGGGAGGAACGUCGAUGGCGAAGGCAGCCACCCGGCAUAAUACUGACGCUGAGGCGCGAAAGCGUGGGGAGCGAACAGG